UGUCUUCUCAGCAUGAACUGGAUUUGUUAUGUUCCUUGGUUACAAGUUCAUAUUAUUUAGUUUUUUCACAUACAUAACAGUUCUCCUCCUCACAGUCCCUCAGCCCCUCAGUCCCUUUAAAUAACUAUGUUCUAAGUUCCUUCCAUGGUCCUCUAACUUGACUUAUCAGCAUGGACUGGAUUUUUUGUUUCUUUGUUACAAGUUCAUAUUUGAGUUACUUCAUAUACAUAAAAGUUCUCCUCCCCUCAGUCCCUCAGUCCCAGUUCAGGUCCUUCCUCUUAAGUUCUCUUCUCAGCAUGGACUGGAUUUGUUAUGUUCCCCGAUAUUAGUUUAUAUUUUUAGUUUCCUUCACACAUAUUAGGGUUUCCUCUUCAUGUUCCUUCAGUCUUGUCAAACAUUCUCAAAGUCUUCAAUAAUGACUCCGUUCAGGUUCUUCCCAGAGUUGUGUUCCCAGCAUGGACUACCUGAUAAUAGCUGUUAAUAUCCUGUGUUUUUUCAAUAGCAGUUUUUCGUCCCUCCACACACAAGGUUUCCCUCUAUGUUCCUUUCUAUCUAACAGUUUUCAGAGUGUCAAUAGUCUAGACUCUCCUAGUUUAAUCCUUUCCCAGUGUUGACUUUAUUGGUUAUUCACAUUUCAUCUUAACUAUUUUUUCUAUAGCAGUUUUCGUCCCUCCACACACUAGGUUUUCCUCCAUGUUCACUUCUAUCUAACAGUUUUCAGAGUGUCAAUAGUCUAGACUCUCCAAUUUUAUCUCUUCCCAGUGUGGACUUUAUUGGUUAUUCACAUUUCAUCUUAACUAUUUUUUUGAUACAAGUUUUUCGUCCCUCCACACACAAGGUUUUCCUCUUUGUUCCCUUCUCUCUAACAGUUUUCAGAGUGUCAAUAGUCUAGACUUUCCAAUUUUAUCCCUUCCCAGUGUUGACUUUAUUGGUUGUUCACAUUUCAUCUUAACUAUUUUUUCGAUAGCAGUUUUUCGUCCCUCCACACACAAGGUUUUCCUCCAUGUUCCCUUCUCUCUAACAGUUUUCAGAGUGUCAAUAGUCUAGACUCUCCCAGUUUAACCCCUUCCGAGUGUUGACUUUAUUGGUUAUUCAUAUUUCAUCGUAACUGUUUUUUCACCCUCCACAUUAAGGUUUUUCGUCUAAUGUUUCCUCUUAGUUAACAGUUUUCAGAGUGUCAGUAGGCUAGACUUAUUUCAUUCAGUUUCUUCUCAGUGUGGACUUCAUUUCCUAGUAUCCAUAUUUUAUCAUUACUUUAUUUUUGUUCCUCCUCACACAAGGUUUUCUCUAUUGUUCUGUCUUAAGCAGUUUUCAAAGACUUUCUUGUUUUGGAAUAUCCUGAUGCUAUUCCCCUUUCAAUGUUUUUCUUCAAGGUAUUCACACUCUAGUUCAAUACUCAAGUUCAGGUCCUUCCCUUCAAAUCCCUGAAUCAAUGGUUUUCCUCAAGGUAUUCACACACUUUAUUUUAUCAGGCGAGUUCAUGCCCUUCCCCUCCCCUCUCUAAUCUUAUUACCCUUCAAUGGUUUUCCUCAAGGUAUUCACACUAUUGGAUAUCACUUGAGUUCAGGUCCUUCCCUUCCCAUCGCUGAAUCAAUGGUUUUCCUCAAGGUAUUCAAACACUUUAUUUUAUCAGGCGAGUUCAUGCCCUUCCCUUCCCCUCCCUGAUCUUAUUCCCCUUCAAUGGUUUUCCUCAAGGUAUUCACACACUUUAUUUUAUCAGGCGAGUUCAUGCCUUCCCUUCCCCUCCCUGAUCUUAUUCCCCUUCAAUGGUUUUCCUCAAGGUAUUCAAACACUUUAUUUUAUCAGGCGAGUUCAUGCCCUUCCCUUCCCCUCCCUGAUCUUAUUCCCCUUCAGUGGUUUUCCUCAGGGUAUUCACACUUUCAGUUAUCACUUGAGUUCAAGCCCUUCCCUUCUUGUCCCUCCCUUCCCAGCCCUCUCAGUGUGUGUCUAAGUUACCCCAAAAUUUACCUCUUCCUCUAUUUUUAAGGUACUGGUACUAUGGAUGCCUGCAGUAAUGUUACACCCAGAGUUUUACAUAUCUAUAUUUCUUUAUGUGUUUAUUUUUGUGCCCCACCGACUCUCACAUUUUGGAUAGGUGGCUAACGUUACCAUUUGUUUCAGUUCAGGUUAUGUGUUGAUGUCUGUUCCUUAGUUCGUACGCACCACUGUAGUCAGUUCUCGGAUCAGGGAAAAAUGUGUGCUCUGGGAAAGUGAGUGAGGAUUUAAAAUUUGAAGAUUGUCAUGGUAAAGUUUGGUAAAUAUUCUUCAGUGUGAGGGGUCGUUAGUCGUCACACCUCUGCUUAAAUUUCCUGGAGUCCUGUGUAUGUGUUCUUGUGAAGUCAUAGGUUCUCAUGAUCCGAGCACUGACUCAACCCUCUUGCAUACGAACUCCGGAACAUGACCACAUUAGUUGAUAUACCCAUGAACACCCUUCCCGUCCCAUCCCUUCCCUUCCCUUCCCAUCCCAUCCCUUCCCAUCCCAUCCCUUCCCUUCCCUUCCCCUCCCAUCCCAUCCCUUCCCCUCCCAUCCCUUCCCUUCCCAUCCCUUCCCUUCCCGUCUCUUCCCUUCCCGUCUCUUCCCAUCCCCUCCCUUAGCCCAGGAGUCAGCGUAGUGGCGUAGCAACCUGCAUGACCCCACCCACUCCUGCCCAGUUCACGCAUUCCUCUUUACCGCAGACAGCCGAGGAAAUGCUGUGUGGUAUGCCUUGUAGAGAGGGAAUGCUGUGCUAGAUAGGCAGUAGGAUAAGUAAUGAAGAUGAUGGAAUGACGAUAAUGGAAUGCUUAAGUUAGGGCAGGAAAGGCAGAAGAUGGUGAAUGACAGUAAAUGAUAAUGAUGGGAUGACUGAAAAGGAAUGGUGUGGUAGAUAGACAAUAGGAUAAAUAAUGAUAAUAAUGAUGAAAUGAAGAUAAUGGUAUGCUUAAGUUAGGGCAGGAAAGGCAGAAGAUGGUGAAUGAUAGUGAAUGAUAAUGACGGAAUGACUCGAAGGGGGGAGGUUCGUGAAGCAAUGCAGUAUAUGAUGAAGAUAGUGAUGAAACUAAAAUGCUGUCUUAGGUUAGAGCAGGACAGGCAGAUGAUGAUGAAAGAUGGUGAUGAUAAUGAUAGUGAAUUGUGAAGAUGAGGAUGAAGAUGGAAUGAUGAAAGUGAGAAAGGAAUGUGAAGAUGCAGCGACGUGUUUGAUAGUGAAAAAUGAUGAUAGUGAAUUGUGAAGAUGAGGAUGAAGAUGAAAUGAUAGUGAGAAAGGAAUGUGAAGAUGCUGAAAGAUGGUGAUGAUAAUGAUAGUGAAUUGUGAAGAUGAGGAUGAAGAUGGAAUGAUGAUAGUGAGCAAGGAAUGUGAAGAUGCAGUGACUCAUUUGAUAGUGAAAGAUGGUGAUGAUGAUGAUAGUGAAUUGUGAAGAUGGAAUGAAGAUGAGAAAGGAAUGUAAGAAUGCAAUGACUUGUUUGAUGGUGAAAGAUGAUGAGGAUGAGGAUGAUGGGUGGAAGGAAUGUCAUGAUAGCUUAGGACAGAAGAGAUGGUGACACAGAAGGAGGUGAAAGAUGGUGAGGAUGAUGAUAGUGAAGAUGAUGAUAAUGAAUGCUGAAGGGACUGUCAUGGAAGGUUAGGGCAGAAGAGAUAGUGAAAGAUGGUGAGGAUGAUGAUAGUGAAGAUGAUGAUGAAAAUGAAUGCUGAAAGGUUAAGACAGAAGAGAUAGUGAAAGAUGGUGAGGAUGAUGAUAGUGAAGAUGAUGAUGAAAAUGAAUGCUGAAAGGACUGUCAUGAAAGGUUAGGGCAGAAGAGAUAGUGAAAGAUGGGGAGGAUGAGAAUAGUGAAGAUGAUGAUGAUGAUAAUGAAUGCAGUAGAUUUAUAUAUUUUUCUUUGUAGCAUUGGAAGACAAAUUUAGUAUUGCAUUCCUUCAAUUAAUCUUUCACAUUUUAAAUAGUGCAAGUUUUACCACUAUUACUAUUAUUACUGUUAUCACUAUUAUUUAUUCCUGUUAUUAGUGUUGUUAUAUUUCACAGAUGUCAUAUUCCUUCCUCCUGGUUCCAUAUAUGUCCACACACGCCCCACCGACACCUUAAUCUGAUUUUUUGGUUAAUGCAUAAAUGGCGUCGGCCACCACACCAGCCCUGAGGCACCCUACUCCUUGGCUUUAGAUGCUAUUGUUGUUAUUACUACUGUUAUUACUGUUAUUGAGGUUCAUGGGAGGGCAUCAAGGGAAGAUAAAUAAACUGAUACAGACCCAGAGUCCCCUCGCUGAGCAGACUUGGAUGUGAAGACUAAGGGCCACUUUCACAGUCACUUUGUUUGUUUUGAUUAUUACCAAUGGCGGCGAUCGGCACUAUAGUAUUUCCACGUGAAACUGGUCGAUGGGGUAGUGGCGGCUGCAGGGUUAGCCUAGCCCCUCACCUUGCCACACACCCUCAAUACCUCUUGCUUCAUCUGCAGCCUCCACUACCCCAUCGGCCAGUUUCACGUGGAAAUACUACAGUGCCGAUCGCCGCCACUGGUAAUGAUCAAAGUAAACAGAGUGACUGUGAAAGCGUCCUUAAGAGAGACAGUGGCAGUAAAGUAAAGGGAAGAAUACAAGAAGAGGGAAAAAAACAAUACCUGAUGAGUUAGCAGCUGGGUGUUGACUUGCUCUUCAAACUUAUCAGUGGGAGGAAAGGAAGGUUAAUGUUAAAGAAAAGGCAGGGACAGUACAGUAAGGAGUAAUGUUUAAGAAAAGGCAGGGACAGUACAGUAAGGAGUAAUGUUUAAGAAAAGGCAGGGACAGUACAGUAAGGAGUAAGAAGAA